CCGGGUUAGCGGAAAUGAGGAGGACAUUA
rnacentral:rRNA from 1 species